rnacentral:lncRNA from 1 species
UAGCAAACAAAAUACUAUCUGUUUCUUCGGGAGAAAGAAAAGAAGAAAUAUGCAGGCAAAAUACUGUCUUCUCUUCGUGCUGUUAAUUGGUUCGAUUAUCGCUUCCACGGAUGGCUUUGUGCCCUCGGGAAGGCCGGCCGGAAGGCCGUCUGGAAGGAAGAGGGAGUUUGAGAAGAUCCAACGAGAUUUGUGCCGAGCAGCAAUGCAGAUUCAGUGUUGUGACUUGGAAGAUGAAGGAAUGAAGGGAUGAACGAGAUGUCAAGCUACAGUCGUUAAAUGGAGAUUAAAACACGCAGAACUAAAAAAAGAACAGAGGACCUAAGUACAGUAAUGUUUAAAAUGGACAUGAUAUCAUGGAAUUAAAUCUGUCAUUAAUGUUGAAAAAUUAAAAAAAAAAAACAUAAUGAAUC